UUCCGCGUCCUUCCCCCGUUUCCGCGUUCCCUCGCCCCUCCCCCGUUUCCGCAUUCCCGCGUUCUCUCGCGUUUCCGCGUUCCCGCAUCCUCUCGUGCUUUGCGUGUGACGAGUGCUAAAUUCAUCGAUGCCGUCGCUGCGACGGACGAUCGCGUCUUCAGGGUUGAUCAGCCAAUUUCUUACGCGACCGUGAUCAACGCGUGUACUCCAAUCGAUACGUUUGUUGGCUUUCGGCACCGGCCGACGCGACGGCCACUUCGCAUCGCGCAGUCAGCAGUGCGUAGUCGAGCCCAUAACCUCUCCGCCUAUCCGCGUUCCGGCGUUCUCUCACGUUUCGCGUGUGCCGCGAGUGUCAGAUUUAUCGAUGCCGUCGCUGCGACGGACGAUCGCGGCUCCAGUGUCAAUCGGUCGACUUUCUGCGCAACCGUGAUCAACGCGUGUGCUUCGAUCGAUGCGUUCGUCAGCUCUCUCCGCCGGCCGACGGCUACUUCGCGUCGCGCCAUCGGUAGUGCGUAGUCGGAGCCCAUAACAUUCCCGCGUCCUCUCAUGUUUUGCAUGUCGCGAGUGCUAAAUUCAUUAAUGUUGUCGUUGCGACCGCGUCUCCAGAGUCUAUCGGCCGACUUCCUGGGCGAUCGAUCAACGCUGAUCCAUGUCUCCGUCGCCUCUCACGACGGCCAUUUCGCGUCGCGGCCGCCGCCGCACCGGUGCGAUAAUCGGGCCUGUGAUCUUCCCACAUUCCUGUGUUCCCCCGCGUCCCCCGCGUUCCUUCGUUCCGCGUCGCUCCCCCGUUUCCACGAUUCCGCGUUCCGCGUCCCUCGUCCCUCCCCCGUUUCCGCGUUCCCUCGUUCUCCCGCAUUUCCGCGUCUUCCUGCGUUUCGCGCGUGUGGCGAGUGCUAAAUUCAUCGAUGCCGUCGCUGCGACGAACGAUCGCGUCUUCAGGAUCGAUCAGCCGACUUCUUAUGCGACCGUGAUCACGCGUGUGCUCCGAUCGAUACGUUGGCUCUUGGCGGCGGCCGCCGGCCACUUCGCAUCGCGCAGUUGGCAGUGCGUAGUCGGACCUUUAACCUCUCCGCCUGUUCCGGCGUUCUCUCGCGUUUCGCGUGUUUUGCGAGUGUCAAAUUUAUCGAUGCCAUCGCUGCGACGGACGAUCGCGGCUCCAGUGUCAAUCGGCCGAUUUCCUGCGCGACCGUGAUCAACACGUGUGCUUUAAUCGAUGCGUUCGUCGUCUCGCGAGCCGUAUUCCGUCAUGUUUUCGUCGCAAGAUGACUCGCCCGCACGAGACUCAUUCUCCCGUGCGAUUCGCACGCUCAACGAGCGUCCCGGGUGCCGUCCAGCACGCCCGUGGUGUUGGGAAACAUCGAGCGGCAUCGAGUAGAGCAUCACGAGAUCGUCGCGAUGGACCAAUCGAUCGUCACUAUUUGCCCAGGAUUCGCGUCAUUACGUAGCGGUCGUCUUAUCGCUCAUGUUUCAUCGAUGACGCGUUGCUUGUUGGGUACAAGUAUCCCUCUACUUACGACGGAGUUAAGUCGGUAGUGCCGAAUAGAUUCGUACGAUGUAAUCAUAAACUCGUGUAAUAGGCAAGAAUAAAUAGAUAAUCGCGAAUGUGAUGGUGCGGUGCAGUGCAGUGCAGCGAAUCGUUAAAGUGAUCGGAAAAUACAGUGCAUCGCAAGUGUGUUCGAAAGGUGCAACUUAUCACGAGUGCAUGCCGCCCGAGUGGAUGGAUUAAAACGCAGGAUUACUGUCUACAGCGUCUACGAUAUUACUGCCGCCGUCUACGACAUCGUGUAGUAAAGCCGGCUCCGGAAGAAAGUUACGUCCGACGAAUCGAAUUCACGGUGCAAAUUGGUGCGUUGGGAAACAGGUAUUUAUAAUAAUAGAGUGUAAUAGCAAACGUGCAAUUUGCAUGCUGCACGUUAUGGGCAGCGAGAAUGCGAAGCAUAAUGUAUAAACUUUAAUUACGUCGCUUCAACUCG
rnacentral:lncRNA from 13 species